AGAUCUUAACAGCACAGGAACCUGCCCCCCCAAAGGUAGCAACCCUUAAUGGUUGCAUUCCUAGCAGCAGCACCACCCACCUACAGCACAUGGUCACCUGGGAUAUUUCAUCCGAGCCUGGAGGCUGUUCGCCAACAGUAAAACACCUUGAAGACAAGCCACGGGCUUCACUUAAAUCAGAGAUUUGCCCUAGAAGCUGUUUUCUAAUACCAAGAACACGAAUCAAUACGAACGUGCCUGUGAACAUGUGCAGAAGUACACCGAGAACUGGAAACUUGUUUUGCUGCACUAAAGAAGCAAAAGGGGGUAACGCACAUGGAUCUUGGCUUCAGUGUGUUUGGGUGUCACAUAUAAACUGAGUUGCUGGUACCUGCUAGGGAUGCAUGGCCUAGAAGGAUGUCACUCAAGUGUGCUAAUGUUGCAUGCACCAGCAACAUGAUGUCAAGCAUGUAGAACUCCACAAGGACUCUGCUUGCAAAAAUGCCCUUUCAACUAUCUGCCUAGUCAACUGUCCUGAUUACAAGGCUUAAUGAUUAACUGCAUUUGAUAACACAGACUACUAUUUUGAAAUAAAAAAAGUGAUUUCAAUCAAACUACAGAAUACAGA